rnacentral:rRNA from 1 species
UGGUGGAGUGAUUUGUCUGCUUAAUUGCGAUAACGAACGAAACCUUAACCUGCUAAAUAGCCAGGCUAGCUUUGGCUGGUCGCCGGCUUCUUAGAGGGACUAUCGGCUCAAGCCGAUGGAAGUUUGAGGCAAUAACA